rnacentral:tRNA from 1 species
GGGGAUGUAGCUCAGUUGUUAAAGAGUUCUUGCCUCACAUGCACAAGUCCCUGGGUUCAAUCCUCAGCACCUCCA